ensembl:lncRNA
GAACCUCUCCCUCCUCCUACUCCAAGAAGUGAGAUGCUUCAGACUGAGGGGUCCAUAUCUCCCAUCAUGCUCUUGGAUGAAAGAGUGGGCGUGGCUAAUGACCAGCCCCAGCGAGUCGUCCUCGGGGCACCAGGAAGACGAGCGCAGUCUCCGACACACACAUCGGCAAACGCAGAAACACUCCCACAAACACUCCCACUCACACACACACACACACUCACACACACCAGCCACGGAGAGCGCAUCGGCCGCCUUGAGGAGCGGCUAGAUGGAGUUAACACCAUGCUGGAGAUGCUGAAGAACCAGAACGUGGAGCUGGCUGAGCGUGUGCGGUCCCUGGAGGAGUGUGAGUGUGUGAAGCGUGUGUGUGUGUGGGAAGAUGCUGAAGUCGAGUCUGGGAAGAGUUGGGAGACUGACACACACUCUCUGUGCACCUGCACCAACGGACAGGUUCACUGCUCCACUCCAUACGAUUCUGCUUUGCAUGGCCGUGGUACUCUGGCUGUCCUCUUGGCUCCGCCCCUGUGACCUGUCCCGACCUCUGUCAGUCAGCUCGUUGUCGGGGGCAACCAGGAGCGGUGUGUCACAUGAUCACAUGUGGCUCCUGCCACACUCAGUGGGUGGAGCCUAACAGUGGCCAGCCAAUCGAGUGCCAGGAUUGGUGAACAUGCACACACAUACACACUCACACAAACACACACACACACACACACACACACACACACACACACACAUACACACAUACACACACACACACACACACUCUCACACACACACACACACACACACACACACACACUGACAGAAGAGGAGACUAUGACUUAUUUCUGUUUGGCACUGGGGUGCAUCCGUGAUGUGUGUGCGAAAAUAUCAGUGAUUUGUGUGUCAGAGUGUGACAGUGUGUGUGAUGCCUCUGAACUGAAGUAUUUGGGUGCACGGGUUAAAGUACUUCCUGUGGAGUGGUCAGGAGUUGUCUGUAGUGAGGUAUUAGUAAGUAAAAGAACUUCUUGGUCAAAUGUGUUUGUCAUGAAUCAUUGCUCAGUGUAUCAUUUAGCCUUGCGCCAUAUAUGAGCUGUGCUUGGCAUGUGUGUGUAUUACUGUGUUGGGGACUGUGCGUGGUAUGUGUGUGAUGUGUGUGUGUGUGUCUGUGCUUGGUCUGUGUGGUGUGUGUGUGUGUGUGUGUGUGUCUUUGUGUUUCGUGUUAUGUAUGUGUGUGUCUGUGCGUAGUAUGUGUGUGAUGUGUGUGUGUGUCUGUGCGUGUUAUGUGUUGUGUGUGUGCGUGUAUGUGUGUGAUGUGUGUGUGUGUCCGUGCGUGUUAUGUGUGUAUGUUUGUGUCUUUGCGUGGUAUGUGUGUGAUGUGUGUGUGUGUGUCUGUGUGUGUUAUGUGUGUGUGUGUGUCUUUGCGUGGUAUGUGUGGUGUGUGUGUGUAUCUGUGCUUGGUAUGUGUGUGAUGUGUGUGUGUGUCUGUGUGUGUUAUGUGUGUGUGUGUGUGUCUUUGCGUGGUGUGUGUGUGUGUCUGUGCUUGGUGUGUGUGGUGUGUGUGUCUGUGAGUGGUGUGUGUGGUGUCUGUGAGUGGUGUGUGUGUGUGUGUGAGUGGUGUGUGUGUGUAUGGUGUGUGUGUCUGUGCGUGUUAUGUGUGGUGUGUGUGCGUGUGUGUGUGUGUGUGUGUGUGCGUGUCUGUGAGUGGUGUGUGUGUGUGUGUACCACUUUGUAUUUGGAUGUGUAGUGUGAAUGAUCAUGUGUGAUUAUGUUCUUCAAAUAUCUCACGGGAAAUGUGGUUGGCCUCUUGUCUCUCCCUCCCUCCCUCUCUGUCUCCCUCCCUCUCUGUCUCUCCCCCCC